rnacentral:sRNA from 1 species
AUAUAAACCUGACAGUAGCGAACACGAAGUAAGGGCUUUUUCAGCUCUUGCGAAGUAAAGCGGAUGGCAGGGCUUAAC